UUGAACGCUGGCGGCAGGCCUAACACCUGCAAGUCGAACGGUAACAGGAAGAAGCUUGCUUCUUUGCUGACGAGUGGCGGACGGGCGAGUAAUGUCUGGGAAACUGCCUGAUGGAGGGGGAUAACUACUGGAAACGGUAGCUAAUACCGCAUAACGUCGCAAGACCAAAGAGGGGGACCUUCGGGCCUCUUGCCAUCGGAUGUGCCCAGAUGGGAUUAGCUAGUAGGUGGGGUAACGGCUCACCUAGGCGACGAUCCCUAGCUGGUCUGAGAGGAUGACCAGCCACACUGGAACUGAGACACGGUCCAGACUCCUACGGGAGGCAGCAGUGGGGAAUAUUGCACAAUGGGCGCAAGCCUGAUGCAGCCAUGCCGCGUGUAUGAAGAAGGCCUUCGGGUUGUAAAGUACUUUCAGCGGGGAGGAAGGGAGUAAAGUUAAUACCUUUGCUCAUUGACGUUACCCGCAGAAGAAGCACCGGCUAACUCCGUG
rnacentral:rRNA from 1 species